ACGACGUAAAUUAUAUAUCAAUUUUGUUUGGCUUAGUAUUUGCUUAAAAAUUAUCUGUUUAAACGGUUAUGGAGUGGUUCCUAAUCUUUAUCAUAGGCUGUCUUGUGGGUUUUCUAAUAUCAAAGAAUACAUAGUCCAAUAGAAGUGUGUACACUUACGUGCACUAAAAACCAAACAAAAUUUCCCAUUUUAAACAUAGAAGAUCGGAGUUUUAUUAGAAAAUAUGCAGCGGUUUAUUACUUUCAUUGUUGGAGGAAUCGUUGGUUUUCUGAUUGCAAAAAAUCACCGCUAAACAAACAUGGCCUAUGUCAUCUGCUUCGGAAUGGGCAUGGUUUUUGGCAUGUUCGUGUGCCGACGAUGCGAGCCCUGAUUGAGAAGAAUCCAUGGACCAAUAGACCUUAGGAAAGUCCUGCACAAUCAAAAUCUUAAGUGUGUUCUUAUUUAAAAUGAAUUAAGAUUAAACGACAGCCGACAAA